UUGAGGGCACUAGUCCACUGUCUUCUUGGUCUGCUGGCUUUCUGAAUAAAGUUGCUAUGCCUUGCCCCAACACCUCAUCUCUCGAUUUAUUGGCCUGUUGGGCUACAAGCAGUAUGAACUUGGACUUGGUAAUGAAUUUUGCAAAGCCAGCCCAGAGGCUUGGGGCUCACGGCCAGCUGGCCCCUGUUGGGGAAUUUUUGGGUAAGGCCCUAGCAGCUGCCAGGACCACUUGUUCUGAGGAUCUUCCCUUCAGAUUUCCCCAAAGCAGCACUGGCUGCCCCAGCGCUUGGCAGUUGAAGCAAGAAACUGAUGUCUGGGAGUUAAGCAGCUCCCUAUAGUAGGGCUUGUUUAAUUGGCAACCCUCGUUACCAGGACGAUCGUCUAGAUACCCAGAACAUGAUCCCUGAGAAGGCCAGAUAUACGCCUAGGAGUGGAACUGCUGGGCCAUAUGGUGGUUCUAUUUUUAGGUUUUUGAGAAACCUCCAUAUUGUUUUCCAUGGUGGCUGCACCAAUUUACAUCCCCACCAACAGUGUACAAGGGUUUCCUUCACAUCCUUUCCAACAUUUGUUAUUUGUGUUCUUUUUGAUGGUGGCCAUUCUGACAGGUGUGAAAUGGAGUCUCAUUGUGAUUCUGAUUUGCAUUUCCCUGAUAUUAGUGAUGUUGAGCAACUUUUCAUGUUCCUGUCGGCCGUCUGCAUUUCCUCUUUUGGAAAAAUGUCUGUGCAGUUCUUCUGCCCAUAUUUUAAAUGGGUUGGUUGGUUGCUUGCUUUUUAUUGAAGUACAGUUGAUUUAAAAUGUUGUAUUAGUUUGUGGUGUACAGCUUGGAUGGACUUGGAGGGCGUUAUGCUAAGAGAAAGAAGUCAGAGAAAGACAAAUACUGUAAGAUAUCACGUACAUGUGGAAUCUAAAACAUACAUAACAAACUAGUGAAUAUAACAGAAAAGAAACAGACUCACAGAAGUAGAGAAGGAACUGGUGGUUACCAGUGGGGAAGAGGGAGGGGCAAGAUGGAGGGGGAGGAUUAAGAGGUACAAACUGUCAGGCAUAAAAUAAGCUACAAGGAUGUGCUGUCCAACAUGGGGAAUAGAGCCAAUAUUUUAUAAUAAAUACAAAUGGAAUAUAAUCUUUAAAAAUUUUGUGAAUCACUAUAUCGUAUACCUGUAACAUACAGUAUUGUACAUCAACUAUACUUCAAUUUAAAAAUAUGAUAUUGUAAAAUAAAUACAUACAUUUAAAAAUGGUAUUAAAAAAAGAAGAUGAAAAUGAAACGCCACUUUUCUGGCAUCUGGUACGGAGGAAGGGAAAAAGAUUGCCCCAGGUUAAAACAUAAGGAAAACAAUAAAAGACAAAGCAAUGAGACAAUAAAUAAAUUUAAAAAUAUAUAAAUAAGAGACAAAACAAUGAGAGCCUCGCCUGUGGUAGAAAGAGAGGAACAUCCUGGUGCCCUAUUCAAAUUUCCCCACAGGAGCCCUGGGGGAAAAUUGACAAUGACAAAUAAACUUUACUCAAAUGCCUCAAGGUACAGGAAAUUUCAGAUACCUGCUAGCGUUCCUGGACACUUUCUCAGGAUGGGUGGAGGCAUAUCCCACCCCGACAGAAAAAGGUCUCCUAAGUGGUGAAAGCACUCCUUCAGGAAAUUAUUCCCCGAUUUAGACUGCCUAACGCUCUUCAAAGUGACAGUGGGUCUGUUUUUGUCUCCAGUAAAACCAAACAGAGAUCUAAAGCACUGCAAGUUAAUUGAAAAUGAUCCUCAACCUGGAGACCACAAUCAAUCACGGUCAACAGGAAAAAACAAGAAAAUAAAUCAUAUGUUAAAAAGAAGAAUUGCUGUGUUCGUGUCAGCAGCACAUAUGGUAAAAUUGGAAUGAUACAGAGAAGAUGAGCGCGGCCUCUGUGCAAGGAUGGCACGCAAAUUUGGGAAGCGUUGCAUUACAAAAAAAAAAAAAAGGAGGAGGGGGUUUAGGAUGCAUGAGGUCCUGGGUUCAAUCCCCAGUACCUCCUCCAAAAAAAAAAAAUGAAACCUGAUUAACUCCCUCUCCCCUCAAAAAGAAAAAAAAAAGGAGCAUUGCUAAAAUAUGUCAAGAGACUAACUUGGGAUAAAUUGCAAGUUGCCCUGCUACAGAUUAGAGUGGUUCCCCAGAAGCAGGCUUAAAUUAAAUUGCAAUUGCCAAUGAUGUUAAAAAUUUGCACACCACAGUAAUUUCUGUUUUGAGUUUGCCUCCAACAGGUCUGCCUAUUCAACUGAAGUAGCCUUAUAUCCUUUCUGACCUGGAGACCAAGUCCUUCUUAAAAACCUGGAGAGAACAAGGAACUGAACAUCAGCUGAUUGCAACGUGGACAGGACCAUGCACUCAUCUUGUCAAGCCAUCUGGGGUGAAGCCAUGGAUUCAUCACAGUUGGAUUAAAGCAGCAUCACCAUCAUCAGAAAAUGACCCAACUCCUGAAAAGCCUGGGGAACAAUGGGUUUGUGAACCCUUAGAAGACACAAGAUUGCUCUUAAAAAUAAUAAGUAGAGGGGGAAAAUUAUAACUACUUUAAAAUUUUUUUGUUUCAACUUCUUGCUUCUAGAAUAUAAAAUACAAUUAUUUUUCUAUAUCAA